CAUGGUGUUGAUAGGGCGGGUGAACACCUCUUCCCAUUUCGAACAGAGCAGUUAAGCCCCGCACCGCCGAUGGUACUUGGAUCAAACCCGGGAGAGUAGGUAGAUGCCAGUU
rnacentral:rRNA from 1 species